AAAAAACCUUGCGCUAAAAAUUGUAGUUUAUUUUUAGUAUCUGUUGGGAGUCUUCAAAUACAGAAAGAAAGUUUAUCGUUACUUGUGUUUUAAUUCACAUUCACUUUUUAAACUUAAACCAGAUAUUCUCAUGGAUCUUUUUAUCUCAAGUCUAUUUCAUGAAAAUAUACUUCUGUUUUACUUCCGUUUUAUUACAUUUGACAGAUUAAAUUACCAAGUAUUUAAUGUUUUACUUACAUAUUUAUCAAUUUCCUUAGAAUGUCUGAAUAAAUUUGAUUCUCUUUAACACUUAGACAAGAUUUUAGAUUUAAUGAACAAGUUUUUUUCAAGCACCAAAGCAACUCUUGCCCAUCUAAUCAGAUUAAGCCAGUAAGCAUAAUUUUAAGCAUUUUAAAAAGAGACAGCAUACACAAAACUACAUGAUUAGAAGGUUUGAUACCACACUUGGGUAAAUGCAGGCUCCCCUUUUUUAAUUAAAAAAGCAUUUUAUCUCAGACUUCACUAUUAAGGUCCAGGCUCCCCGCUCCGUUUCCAAUCCUGCAUCUCAUGCUUCAGGUGCCUGGUAGAGGCAGGGCAAGAUGUGAAACCCUUUGACCACCAGAUGGCAGCAGAGGGCCAUGCUGCCGGGGACCCUUCCUGGUUCCAGAAAAGGGUGGGGCAAAGCUGUGAGCAGUGGCCUCAGAAGAGCCCACGCUGGAGCCAGCAAGUCAGUCCAGGAAGCCGGAGGGUAAACUGCUGAGCCAAAGGGUCAUCCUUGUACUAGUUCAUUUGGGAAAUAGUAAGGAGACAACAGGGUUCAGAAUGUCAGAACAAAGAACAAAAAAUGAGGAGUGAGCCAGAAUUCCCAGCCAUUCAUCAUUCCAUUUCAAAUGGAAAAAGGCAGAACAGCCAGAGGUUGGAAUGGAUUGGAGUUGUGUGGUAGCUGGAACUUGAUAGCAAGAGCUCUUAAAUCAUCAGUUUUAAUUCCCUCCUUUGGUCCCUGUAAGGAGCCACAAAAUUGAAACUUUUUAGGUGCUUUCCAAAGGAAGAGCAGGGAAUGCUCCGUUAUCAUUUCUUAAUCCGAAGGCAAAUUGUAUUGGGCUCUUCAGGAGAGGGAUGGGCAGGAAUGGUAAAAUUUGCAGGAAAUAAGUUUCUGGGGCAUCAUCAACAAUAAAGAUAGAAUCACAGUCUGCGUUUUACUUCUCUCCCCUUAUUUUGCUUCCAAUAGUUAAACUAGUGAUACAUAUUUGAGAAAACUCAGAUUUUUUUCUUCCCCUAUAAGCAGUUACUGAAAACUCUCAAUGAUCGUUUUCAGGUGGGAGAAGACAUCAAGAUUAGGUCCAUAAGGUGUCAUUUUAUUGGAAUAUUUUAAAAGGAUACUUGAUAUGUAAGAACUGCGAUUUAGAAAUAGUAACGGCUUGCCAUUUAUCGAGGGUUUACCCUGUGCAGGGUAUUGUUGCACUGCGACUCCCUGACGGGCCAUGCCAGAAUCAGCUGGGGAUUCGUUCUCCCUGCAAAUCCUCAGUUUGGCCCAAAUCUGCUGAAUCAGAAAGCCCAGGAGUGGGACCCAGCCAUUGGUGUUGGAACACACCAUCCAGGGGAUUCCGACGCGGGCUCACAUUUGAGAACCCCUGGGGUUGACUCUUUUUUCCCUUCAAUCCUUACAACAAGCUGGAGACGUGAAGAUGUUUAUUUUCACCCCCACUUUAUAGCUGGAGACUCUGAGGCCGGAGACCUUAAAUGAUCUGCCCGAUGACGCUGAGUUCUGAAGCGGCAGAGCUGGGAUUUGAGCCCGGGGAAGUGGGACUUCAGAGCUCAGAUGCUUGACCUCUGACUUUUUGUGGUAUCUGGCUUCUGGCUUAUGACAACAUAUACUGAACUGAUGAGGUAAGAGCCGUCAUAGGUCAACCCCUGCGAGGCCUCCACACACCUGCAGGCGUGUGAGUGGCCAGAGGGGGCUGGUGGUGGCUGGCUGCCACUGCCUCGGCUUCCUGCCAAAUCAAUGGAAGAUGAUCAGUCAGAAGUGAUGCAAGAUGCCCAGGAACGUGAGAGUUGGCCUUAGCUGAGGCAGUGAUUUUCAGACUUGAAUGGCCAUCCGAAUUGCCUGCUGCGUGCAAGAUAGUCUCGCUUCAGGUGAAACCUGAGGGACAAAAGCUGUGAGAGUCUCCGCGGACAGACUUCAGAAUUAUGUUACUGUGGGAGUUCCCACUGUGGCUCAGCAGGUUCAAAACCCAACUAGUAUCCAUGAGGAUGUGGGUUCGAUCCCUGGCCCCGCUCAGUGGGUUAAGGAUCUGGCAUUGCCGUGAGCUGCAGUGUAGGUCACAGAUGUGGUUCGGAUCUGGUGUUGCUGUGGCUGUGGUGCAGGCCGGCAGCUGCAGCUCUGAUUCGACCCCCAGCCUGGGGACUUCCUUAUGCCGAGGGUGCGGCCCUAAAAAGACAAAAAUAACAAUAAUAAUAUAAUAAUAAAGAUUACUUUACCAUGGUCAAGAGAUUUUACAUCGCUCUGAGGUGUAUGAGUGGCUGGUGUACAGUGACCCACCCCAGACUGGACUGAGAUUCAGUCACAAGCUUUGUAGUAAGUCAGUCUGUCCGUGAUUUAAAUUCAACUUUUUCUUUUGUUCUUAAAUUCCUACCUUGUGCCAAACACUAGGUUAGGAGUUGGGGAUAUGAAAGAGCCUUGACUUUCACGGGCUAAGAGUGUGUUGGGCAUUACAGAGAAAUAGAAGGGGGCAUUAAUUGUCUACUUUUGCAUAACAAAUUGUCCCCAAAUGUAGCAUCUUAAAAACAACAUACAGUCAUCAGUUCACAGUUUCUAUAGGUCAGAAACCUGAGCAUCACUUAGCUUUAUAAUUAAUGACCAAGUAGAAAAAAAAAAAUUGGGGGGAAGCAGAGACUGUAUAAGGAAACACCAGCUACACAAGAUAUAAUUAAACCAGCACCAUGAAAAUAAUUGGGAUAUUAUGAAAGCCUCAGAGGGUGAGGGAACAAGUUGGGUUUAUCCCAGCGAUUCAAAUUCAGAGACUUGUUAAGAAAACAGGAAUCAUAAAACAAUCUAUUUAGAUAAAUCUGUCGUUUAGAAAAUUCAAACAUGUACAAUUAGGAUAAAUAAGAGUAUGGCAGAGUUCAAAAUAACAUACAAAAUUACUGCGGCUCCUAGAGACAAGCAGCAAUUAAUUAGAAAAUGUUACAAAAUAAAUCCUAUUAGGUUAAUCAUGGAAACGCUACCACUGUGCGGCAAUAAACCUCGCAAAAGAUGGGCAAGACUUUUAGGGUAAAACAUACAUUUUUUGGGAAAGACAGCGAACCAAAGAAUUUCACCAUGUUGUGGGAGGGAAAAUCCAAUAUGACUAAGAGGUGACUUCAAAUUAAGUUAUAAAUGCAAAAAUCAGACCUUGUUGGAGGGGUCAUGGAGAGGACGUGACCUCUGGCUGCCCCGCGAGCUGGGGGUGACGGGAGGCCGCCGCCCCGCCCCCGCCGCGUGCCCGCGGGGAAAGGCCAUUUUCAAGGGCGCGCCUCGAGCGGGUGGUCGAGACCGUCUGGAUGGAACACCCGCUGGCUGAACCCCUUUAAGGCGUCUACGCAGACGUGGAAGGUUCUGGCGGGAGGCGCUGAGACGUCUCGGUCCCGUUGGAGGAAGACCAGCCUGGCCGGUGAGUUUCCUGCUUCUUGAACCUUCCACGGCCGGGUUUCGACUCGGUUUGGACGCUCGCCUCUUUCCUGCGUCUCCCCCUGCCCCCGUGUUGGGGCGCCCGGUGCAGCUUUCACCUGGCACUGGGAGAGCUUGCGAGCCAGCAGGAAAGGCAGGGCCAGGCAGACCUGCUUGUGGGAACCGCACAGACACAGGCGCUUUUCACAGGAAAGUUCCAGGCACCUGCGCAGUUGUCCCCACGGCGUCUACUCCCUGCCUGGCCCUGCCUCCCGAGCUGGUGUUUCUCCAAAUAUUCCAAACCUUUUAGCGUGGUGGCUUUUGGGUUUUGGUUUUUGUUUUUUUGGCAAAAAAGUAAUGUCUGAUGAGACUGGGCAGCAGGGUUGAGAGUGGAAAGGCUGGGCCCCGUUCUUUCUGGAAGUUACCCCCGGAGGGCUGGGAGCUGCGGGCAGCCCAGGGGGCUCUGAUUCCUCGUGAAACUGGUCAUGUAGCUGCACAAGGCAAGAGUGCAGACAUAGGGCUAGGGACUCAGAGAAUAAGAGGGUUAAGGAGAAGAUUAAAAAGAUUUGUGAAAAGCCACCCCCCCCCCCCCCCCCCCCCCCCCGCACUGUUGUGGGCAGGGGUGUAAAUUGGUAAAGCCACGGUGAAGACCAGUACAGAGGUUCCUUUAAAAACUAAAACUAGAGUUACCACAUGGGAUCCAGCCGUUCCCCUCCAGGGCAUCUCUCUGGAAUAGAUGAAAACUCUAAUUCGAAAACAUACAUGCACUUCUAUGUUCA
rnacentral:lncRNA from 1 species